UACAGAGACCUCAAGCGUUAUCCGGAAUCAUUGGGCGUAAAGCGUACCGAUAGGUGGUUUUGAAAGUCAGAGGUGAAAGCCUGGAGCUCAACUCCAGAACUGCCUUUAAAACUGCAUCGCUUGAAUCCAGGAGAGGUGAGUGGAAUUCCGAGUGUAGAGGUGAAAUUCGUAGAUAUUCGGAAGAACACCAGUGGCGAAGGCGGCUCACUGGACUGGUAUUGACGCUGAGGUACGAAAGCGUGGGGAGCAAACAGG
rnacentral:rRNA from 1 species